rnacentral:lncRNA from 1 species
AAAACCAGCAGAGCCACCGAGUGCCGCCUGUGUCAGCUCCUGCCCCAGCCCUCUGCUCCACUGCCUGUCCCAGCCUUCUCCUGAGUGCCCAGGUCCAUCCGUGCCCUUGCUCCUUUUGAUGGCUCUGAGAGGACGAUGGUUUCAGGUGAUAGUUUCAACGAAGUGAGCACGUUUUCCAGUUUCAAUGAGAUUUAACCCGACUGCUAAAGUUCUGAACCCAUAUGUUUCAGCUGGGUUUCUCUAACAGAGAUGCUUUUUGACUCAAGUUAAACACCCAAGUUUAUAGAGACUGAAGGAAAACUGUUUCAGAGACAAACAGCCAGCUUUCCCAACAGCCACAGCAGUACAGUGCCUGUGAGACGUGGCAGCUGAUCCCAAGUUGCAGAAGGACAGAAAAGAAAAUCAGGUCACGGCAGGCUCACGUCAUGCCCAGGAACAAGGUCAGAGGUAAUGUGAUGUGUCUUAGUGUUUGCCUUUCCUCUGUUUUCACCAUCACACAUGGCUUUAACAUGU